AGUGAGGUGGCGCAGUGGUUGCGCACUGGACUCGCAUUCGGGAGGACGACGGUUCAAUCCCGUCCCUGAUUU